GACCUCGCGCUAUGAGAUGAGCCUGCGUCGGAUUAGCUAGUUGGUAGGGUAAUGGCCUACCAAGGCGACGAUCCGUAGCUGGUCUGAGAGGACGAUCAGCCACACUGGGACUGAGACACGGCCCAGACUCCUACGGGAGGCAGCAGUGGGGAAUAUUGGACAAUGGGGGAAACCCUGAUCCAGCAAUGCCGCGUGUGUGAAGAAGGCCUUCGGGUUGUAAAGCACUUUCAGUGGGGAAGAAAUUCUCAAGGCUAAUACCCUUGAGCGUUGACGUUACCCACAGAAGAAGCACUGGCUAACUCUGUGCCAGCAGCCGCGGUAAUACAGAGAGUGCAAGCGUUAAUCGGAAUCACUGGGCGUAAAGCGCGCGUAGGUGGAUAUUUAAGUCGGAUGUGAAAGCCCUAGGCUUAACCUGGGAAUUACAUCCGAUACUAGGUAUCUCGAGUAUGAUAGAGGGAAGUGGAAUUUCCGGUGUAGCGGUGAAAUGCGUAGAUAUCGGAAAGAACACCAGUGGCGAAGGCGGCUUCCUGGAGCAAUACUGACACUGAGGCGCGAAAGCGUGGGGAGCAAACAGGAUUAGAGACCCUGGUAGUCCACGCCGUCAACGAUGAGAACUAGCUGUUGGAAAGUUUACUUUCUAGUAGCAAAGCUAACGCGUUAAGUUCUCCGCCUGGGGAGUACGGCCGCAAGGUUAAAACUCAAAGAAAUUGACGGGGGCCCGCACAAGCGGUGGAGCAUGUGGUUUAAUUCGAUGCAACGCGAAAAACCUUACCUACCCUUGACAUCCUCGGAACUUGUCAGAAAUGACUUGGUGCCUUUGGGAACCGAGUGACAGGUGCUGCAUGGCUGUCGUCAGCUCGUGUCGUGAGAUGUUGGGUUAAGUCCCGUAACGAGCGCAACCCUCGUCCUUAGUUGCCAGCGGUUCGGCCGGGAACUCUAAGGAGACUGCCGGUGAUAAACCGGAGGAAGGUGAGGAUGAUGUCAAGUCAUCAUGGCCCUUACGGGUAGGGCUACACACGUGCUACAAUGGGCAGUACAAAGGGUUGCCAAACCGCGAGGUAAAGCCAAUCCCAAAAAGCUGCUCGUAGUCCGGAUUGGAGUCUGCAACUCGACUCCAUGAAGUUGGAAUCGCUAGUAAUCGCGAAUCAGAAUGUCGCGGUGAAUACGUUCUCGGGCCUUGUACACA
rnacentral:rRNA from 1 species